AUUGAACGCUGGCGGCAUGCCUUACACAUGCAAGUCGAACGGCAGCGGGGGAGAAGCUUGCUUUUCCUGCCGGCGAGUGGCGAACGGGUGAGUAAUACAUCGGAACGUGCCCUGUAGUGGGGGAUAACUAGUCGAAAGAUUAGCUAAUACCGCAUACGACCUGAGGGUGAGAGUGGGGGACCGCAAGGCCUCAUGCUAUAGGAGCGGCCGAUGUCUGAUUAGCUAGUUGGUGGGGUAAAGGCCUACCAAGGCGACGAUCAGUAGCUGGUCUGAGAGGACGAUCAGCCACACUGGGACUGAGACACGGCCCAGACUCCUACGGGAGGGAGCAGUGGGGAAUUUUGGACAAUGGGCGAAAGCCUGAUCCAGCAAUGCCGCGUGUGUGAAGAAGGCCUUCGGGUUGUAAAGCACUUUUGUCCGGAAAGAAAUGGCUCUGGUUAAUACCUGGGGUCGAUGACGGUACCGGAAGAAUAAGGACCGGCUAACUACGUGCCAGCAGCCGCGGUAA
rnacentral:rRNA from 1 species